GACGAACGCUGGCGGCGUGCUUAACACAUGCGAGUCGAACGGAAAGGCCCUGCUUGCGUGGGGUGCUCGAGUGGCGAACGGGUGAGUAACACGGGAGUAACCUGCCCUGGACUUUGGGAUAACUGCAGGAAACUGGGGCUAAUACCGGAUAGGAGCGCCUGCUGCAUGGUGGGGGUUGGAAAGUUUCGGCGGUUGGGGAUGGACGCGGGGCUUAUCAGCUUGUUGGUGGGGUAGUGGCUUACCAAGGCUUUGGCGGGUAGCCGGCCUGGGAGGGUGACCGGCGACAUUGGGACUGAGGUAGGGCCCAGACUCCUACGGGAGGCAGCAGUGGGGAAUCUUGCACAAUCGGCGGGAGCCUGAUGCAGCAACGCCGCGUGCGUGAUGACGGCCUUCGGGUUGUAAACCGCUUUAGCCUGUGACGAAGCGUGAGUGACGGUAAUGGGUAAAGAAGCACCGGCUAACUACGUG
rnacentral:rRNA from 1 species